GGGAAACCGGAGCACCCGGAGGAAACCCACGCGGACAACAUGCAAACUCCACACAGAAAGGCCCUCGCCGGCCCCGGGGCUCGAACCCAGGACCUUCUUGCUGUGAGGCGACAGCGCUAACCACUACACCACCAUGCCGCCCUCAUCUCAUCACCUCAGCAUUUAUUUAGCACUGACUCCAUGCUCUCUGUGCUUGGUUGAUUUUUUUUUGUGACUUCCACACACUUCUCUGUAUUUUUCUGACUGAUGAAUGACAGUUUUACGAGAGCAUGUGAUCGUUUUGGAAGUUUUUAACAAAAUCUGCAUGAAGAGAGAAUAACAGAGGAAGUAUUUGCUUCAGCAGAACAAAUGAUGGUGAGCUUGAUGGUUUUCAGAAGUUAUUUCAGUUGACAUUGACCCAUUUCUGGAACCGUGACCCUCUAGACAACAUCAUCUCUCUCUGCACUGCUCGAGAUUACGAAACUACAGCUUUAAUUAGACACUAACGAGUGUCGGUGUUAGUGCUCAUAUUCAUGUCUGUAUUGGUGUGUGGCCACAGUUUUGGAGCUUGUUAGAGAUGCUGAUUUAACAAAAAGCAAUGCAAAAAUGUAAACCAGAACAUACCUUCUUCCAUCUUUAAAAUGGUUUGCCAUGGACGGGUUGCCACUCCCGUCAUGAGAGGCCCUUCCCCCCUCACCCUCACGAAGAUGGGCCCGCAGGAUGACCCCGAGGCAUUCAUCACGCUCUUUGAGCAGGUAGCGGAGACCUCGGGGUGGCCGGUGGAACAGUGCGUGGCGCGCCUCCUCCCCCUGCUAACAGGAGAGGCGCAGCUGGCCGCGCUACAGCUCCCCGCCGACCGCCGGCUGGCCUACGCGGACCUUCGCUGGGCCGUCCUCCAGCAUGUGGGAUGCACCCCUGAGCAACAACGUCAGCGCUUCCACGCUUUGCGCUUGAAGGAAGUCGGUCGGCCGUUCGCGUUUGGCCAGCAACUUCGGGACGCCUGCUGGCAGUGGUUGAGGGCCGACAACCGCGAUGCUGAGGGACUCAUCGACCAGGUGGUACUGGAGCAGUUCAUCGCGCGCUUACUAGCGGGAACCGCAGAGUGGGUCCAGUGCCACCGCCCGGUGUCGCUGGAUCAGGCAAUCGAGCUGGCGGAGGACCAUUUGGCGGCUGUCCCGGCGGCAGGACAGCAGAUGGCAUCUUCUCUUCUCUCCUCUUCUCUCUCUCUCCUCCUCCUCCUGGGUCCCAUCCUCUCCCUGUUCCCCCACCGCGGAGGUGGGGGCCGGCACCACCCCAGCCGGCCCGCCGCACCUGCGGUGCCCUCCCAUUUCUCCCUUCUGUGUCUGUCUCUCCCCCACCUCAGGUGAGUGAGCCCCAGAUCACCGGUGCAGAGGGAAAGCCCGGGCCGGUUUGCUGGCGCUGCGGGCAGCCGGGCCACCUUCAACAGCAGUGCAUGGCGAUGGAGGUGGGCACGGUGGUUCGGAUCCCCAACACGCCAGAGGCCGCCCUCGAUUGGGCCAGAGCGUAUCGCAUACCGACCGAUGCGUCGGACAGAGGGCUGGGGGUGGUUUUGUCCCAGGAGGUGGAGGGGGAAGACCGCCCUGUCCUGUAUAUCAGCAGGAAGCUGUCGGUGCAUGAGGGGCGCUACAGCACCAUAGAGAAAGAGUGUUUGGCCAUCAAGUUGGCGGUUCUCGCCCUCCGGUACUACCUGCUGGGGCGUCCUUUCACCCUCUGUUCGGACCACGCGCCCCUCCAGUGGCUCCACCGCAUGAAAGAUGCCAACGCGCGGAUCACCUGUUGGUAUCUGGCGCUCCAACCCUUUAAUUUCAAGGUGGUCCACAGGCCGGAGGCGCAGAUGGUCGUGGCAGACUUCCUCUCCCGUCAAGGGGGGGGGGGAGUCGGCUGCAGGCCGGACAGCCGCCCGGCCUGAGUCGGGCGGUGGGUGUAUGUGGCAGCGGGGGCGUGGUCAAGCGCCGAUCUGUGACAGGAGGGUGGAGUCAGGGAAGGUAAGUGGCAGAAUCACUACACCUGAGAGCAAUUAACCUGUUUGUGUGUCUUCCCAGUGACCGCGCCCUAUAUGAGGAGGGAGAGCGAGAGCGAAAGGAGCUCCCCCAACCCGAAGACUGAUGACAUAUUGGUAUGCUGUGGUUGAGUUCCUGGCUGAGGGUUCAAUAUCUGUCGUCCCCAGAGAAUGGAUUGAGAGUGACAAAGAUGGUUUCUACAGCUACUGGCCUCAGGACAGACCCACAAGGAGAGCAGAGAAGAGGGAGCUGCCAGAUAAGCAGAACUGGUCACGCUACCAAAUCAAUAUAAUGUCUUUUACAGAGGACUAUUCAUAGGUGUUGCGGCGGGCAAAGAAGGCAGAGAACACAUCCAACCUGUCCACAGAUGAUGAGCCUCAGCAGCAACAUACCAAACGAAGGGCUAAACCAAAUAAGAAAUUCAUGCAGGAUGAUGCAUCUGAACAAAGUGGGGAAGAGGGAACUGAUGAUAACGAUGUUGCCCCCCCCCUCCCCCCCCCACCUAAGAGGCAGUUGACCAGUGCACCAGAGGUACCGGAAACACCUGCACCAAGGUCAAGGCCAGGAACAUUGCCAACACCACCACAACUGAAUACAGAGGACCUUGAAGAGCUGUUCAGGCCGAGGAGUACAGAUACACGGCAAAAUACCAGAUCAGACAAUUAUCAGAGAAAGGUUCUGAUGCGCCUUGAUGAAAUUGUGCAGAAUCAGAAGGUUCAGAUGAAUCUUUUGAAACAAAUCGGCAAAAGGUUCAGCAGCAGGGCCUGAUGAUGAUGUUAUUGAAGACAAGUUGGAGGAUCCUCUAACAUCAACUGAAGAGUUAGACAGGUUCUGUGAAAAGCUGGCAGAUCCAGCUCUAAGGAAGAAAUUGGUGACUUUAUUGAGUGCUAUCGGUGGGCGUGAUGUGGGAGACACCAUCCGAAGGAUGAUGAAAAAGUUGGGAACUUCCCAACUGUGGUCUCAGUUCAACAUGAAAGGAAGGAAGAAGAAGCGGUCAUUUGAGGCCCUGCCACUCAACAGAGUUAUAUAUACAUGCAGAAAGAGCCACCCAACCUGUAAAGACCACAACAUUGAGCUGCAAGUGGCAGAGACACUGAAGCAUGCCCCAAGCAAGAGGGGUGGAUACCUCUUUCAGGCUCGCGCUGCUGUGGCUGCAACAACGAAGGAGACAACUACUGUACCAACCCACCAUUCAUCUGAUUCAGAAACCAGAGACAUCUGUUAGCUCUUUCAAUGCUAGAGUUUCUAUUAUUGAAUACUGGUUCACCAUUAAAUAUUUUCAAUGGCCAGAACAAAAAUUAUGGUUGUGUGUAAAUAUUGCAGUCAGUCUCUGUAGGUUUUUAUGCCAUUUUAUGCGAUUUUGUUUUUUGCUGAAAUAAAUGCACCGACUAUGGAAAAUA